rnacentral:tRNA from 1 species
UGGAUUGUAGCUCAGUGGUGGAGCACUUGCCUUGCAUGCAUGAGGCACUGGGUUCGAUCCUCAGCACCACAU